UACGUAGGGGGCGAGCGUUGUCCGGAAUUAUUGGGCGUAAAGAGCUCGUAGGCGGUUUGUCACGUCUGCUGUGAAAUCCCGAGGCUCAACCUCGGGCCUGCAGUGGGUACGGGCAGACUGGAGUGCGGUAGGGGAGAAUGGAAUUCCUGGUGUAGCGGUGGAAUGCGCAGAUAUCAGGAGGAACACCGGUGGCGAAGGCGGGUCUCUGGGCCGAUACUGACGCUGAGGAGCGAAAGCGUGGGGAGCGAACAGG
rnacentral:rRNA from 1 species